rnacentral:rRNA from 1 species
AGAGUUUGAUCCUGGCUCAGAUUGAACGCUGGCGGCAUGCCUUACACAUGCAAGUCGAACGGCAGCACGGGGGCAACCCUGGUGGCGAGUGGCGAACGGGUGAGUAACACAUCGGAACGUGUCCUGUUGUGGGGGAUAACUAGUCGAAAGAUUAGCUAAUACCGCAUGAGCUGGAGACAGGAAAGCGGGGGAUCGCAAGACCUCGCGCGAUUGGAGCGGCCGAUGUCCGAUUAGCUAGUUGGUGGGGUAAAGGCCUACCAAGGCGACGAUCGGUAGCUGGUCUGAGAGGAUGAUCAGCCACACUGGGACUGAGACACGGCCCAGACUCCUACGGGAGGCAGCAGUGGGGAGUUUUGGACAAUGGGGGCAACCCUGAUCCAGCCAUGCCGCGUGAGUGAAGAAGGCCUUCGGGUUGUAAAGCUCUUUCGGUGGGAACGAAACGGUUACAGCCAAUACCUGUGACUACUGACGGUACCUACAGAAGAAGCACCGGCUAACUACGUGCCAGCAGCCGCGGUAAUAC